UCUUUGACAUUCUGUGCUACCUCCAGUUAGAAUUAUAGCUCUGUGCUGGCAACUGGCAACAGGCCUGGCAACCACCUACCUAUUUAUUUAAAUUCUGAUAUUAGAUGCAUGGGAGGAAGAAUUUUGAUUUGCUUCUAGGGUUCUAGGAGGAGGAUAAUUAAUUUGUCUUGUACAACCGUGGCCUAGAGUGGAAAACAGUGGAUAAUACCAUUAAUCCAUUACCUAAAUACUUUUGCCAUGGAUUUUAGUGACGAACAAAAAAAACAGCGGGCGCUACGUGUGUUGGCAGUGGUAAUUGUGAUUAUAAUUAUUACGCUUAUAAUCUCAUUCAUAUUUGGUAGUUUGAUACCAUCUCUCAUUGGAACAAUAUUGGUAGUCUGCGCCAUUGCAUAUGUGGCUCAUAGAAUUUACGUCAACAAAAGACAAUCGAUGAGUCCAGAUGUGGAGGCUGGAAGAACAUAAUCACCAUGUUGACUUGAUAUGUUACUUGCCUGAGACUGGGAUGGAUAUAAUAGUACAACUAACUUAUUGCUUUCAAUAAUUAAUUAUUAGCCUAAGCUUUAUGACCAUAAUGUGAUUCAGAGGCCUAGUGAUUUUUCUAUUUUACUAUUUAAAUAAAAGCAAAAAUAAUGUUUAGAAAUAUUUAAUAAAUUUAUAUUCAAAAGAUGUUUAUAUUUUUAUAACUAUUUAUUUACUCUGUCAUAUGAAAUACAGUACCCCCUGUUAACCAAAUUCAGGGCAACCGAAAUGGUUUCAUAAAAUAAUACAGGGCUGUAAAAUGCUUUAGUAACUCCAGUUGUUUAGUUUCAAGUAUUUUCUAACCCAUUGUAACAUUUUUGUUGCUGAAAUAAAACACUGAAUUAUAUAGACAUCCUACUAAUAUUACUAGGGUUGCUUUCAGAGAGGUGAAAGCCAGUUGAGCGGAACAAACGUGAUUUGAUAUUUACGUAUAGUUUUGCUAUGGUCAAAGGUCCAAAUCCAAAUGUUCUUUUCAUUUGGUUUUUAUGUAGUAAUUUGCUAGAAUCAUUGACUUUAUAUAAAGUCAAUGCUAGAAUACUGUAGAUGACCAUAAUGCAAUCAUUUUUGAAAUCGUUUCCCUGUUAAACCAACUAUUCCAAAAGAUAAAAAUAAUAUGAUGCAACACAAAUAAACAACCCGAUCACCUAUCUAUAACCUACACUACCGUCAACCGGGGUUAGAUUGACCCCUUUUUUGAUGUUUUUGUUGAUUAAUUUUUGUUUAUAUUGAUUAAUAUUCACAAUAUAUUUUUUAAAUUAUAUACAGGUACUGUGUGAAUGCCAACCAGUAUUAUUUUGUUUUUUAUUGUCAUAUGUUAGUCAUAAAAAAAAAUUAUAAAAGGGGUCAAUGUUACCCCGUGUCUUGGGGUGACAUUGACCCCCUACAUUUAUUAUACUAAAAUUAUACAUAAUAAAGCACUGGGGUCAAUGUUACUAGUGUACAAUGAAACUUUGACCCCUGUAAAAGGGGUCAAUGUUACUUAAGAACAAUUGAGUGGUAACAACAUCAAGGAGUGAACAUAAAAAUUUUUGUAUGAACUCACCUAGGCUAUAAUGAUGGAAUAAAUCAAAUUAGCAAUUUUUUUUAUCACAUGAUUAGGAUGUAACACCAAGGUAAAACAUCAAAACUACAAGUUAUUAGUGACUAAAAUUAUUAAAUUUCCUUUACUCAAACCCUUCCAAAAAAGUUAUAGAAAAUUUUGCGCCCAUUAGAUUCCAGAGUUCCCGGCUACUUACCAAUCAGAUCUACAGAUGGGGCAGAAUAGAAAACACAUAAUUUUCUUUUGGAUGUAAAUUUGUCCCCAUAGUUAGUGUCAACAGAAUUAAGUCACAUUACUUCAACAAACUGUUGAUUUUUUUAACUUAACAGGCAAAGACCUGGUUAAAGUGUUGUUUUCCUCGCUUUCCACAGAUUGCUUUUACCUCAACUUCAUAGAUAAAAAUAAAACAAUUAUAAAUCAACAUUUUUAGUAGGUCUAUUACAUUAUAUACAUAAAUCAAUUAAAUUAAAUAUACCAGAAUUAAUAAAAAUGAUGUGUAGGCUAAUUACUAAUUAGUAACUUGGAAUUAUAACGAGGGGUCAAAGUUAUCUGAAGGCAAAAAAAAUAAGGGGUCAAUGUUACAAGGCCUUAAAAAAUAAUUAUUAAUUUAUUUAAUUUUCUUUAUUUGCUUGUAAUAAUAAGUGCUCAAAUAUUCCUAAAAACAUAUAUAUUUUACCAUAUAAAAUCCUGACAGUGCCAGAACCAUCAGUUUUUGCUGGGCUGAAAAAGUUUUUUGUUAUGAAAUUAUACAGCUGUAUUGUAGAUGAUUGUAUUAUAAUUUUUUUGUAUUGUUAUAAAACUAAUUUCUGCUAAAUAUUAUUUGUUUUCAAAUUGCUACCAAACUCAGUACCGCAUUUCCCAUUAGGCCCACAAGGCCCAGGCCUAGGGCGCCAAAUUUUAGGGGGCGCAAACGUUUUUUAAACACAGAGUGGUGACUCCAGUUAUUAUAAUAGCUCAGUGGGGAUAACCUGCUCUUUUGCGUGUGAUAUGUCGUUUUGCGGUAGUCCCGACGACAUCCCUGCAGCGACUGCCAAAAUUAUUCAGCUGUGUAAUUCUCUCCUGUUAACUAACCUGUUGAGUCGUUCUGUUUAUAUGCUUUGUUAUGUUAGUAAACACUGUUGAAUCAUGCCGUUAUUUUGCUUAGAGAUGAUGAAAUAUUUAAAUAACGACAAUUUUAAUGAUGUUUUGGGACAUGAAUGUUGUCCAUCAUAAAGGUAUUCUACGUGUAACACAAUAAAACAAUAUUGUAUUGUAAAUGUUCCACUUCUACAUUUUACAUGAUUAAGAUUUUCUGACGGAAAGUAUUUAUCAUGGUUCAGUUAAUCUCAUUAGAGGUGUAGUAUAGGGACAGGUCAUACGCCAAUUUAUGCAAAGUUUAAUACAAUAUUAUACAUUUUACAGGAGUUUAUUUAUUUAAAAUAUCAACGGAUUAUCCUUGUAUAUGCAACUCAAUGAUAAUGAUUGUGACAUUAUUUACGUUUCGCGACCAAUAUUACGGCAGGGAGGGCGCAACUGUUUUGUGUGCCUAGGGGCGCCGUUUGGCUAAAUGCGGCCCUGACCAAACUACUGAAAUUUAUCAUAUUUUUAUUUUCAAUUUAUUUAUAACCUACUAUUUAAAAAAGAAUAUAAUAAAAAUAAUUGACCCCGGGGUCAAUGUUACCCCUGGGGGGUCAGAAUUACCCCGCUUGACGGUAUACCUUCCUAAUCUAACCUUACUUCAAAACACUUAAUGAAGUCACGAAUACUCAUAAACCCCGAUCUACCUUCCCUACUUGCCUAAAUUAGAUCAGUGUUCAAUCUGAGUUUUGAUUAAUAAGUGUAAAACUUACUGCACCAUCGAUGUAAUUCAACAUAAUAUAACCUGUGAGGUAUUAUCGGAUUAAAUAUCGAUUUCGAUGCGGUUUGAUAUAUCGCUUAUUAAAUCCUGAUUUCUAACAUUGGCUGUUUCUAAUCAGCUGGCAACAGAAAUAGGUUCCCAAGAAAGUAGUCACCGGUCCGUAUCCCUCCGCUCCUUGUUUAUGCUCCGCGCAUUGAGAAAUUAGUUCCGUAUAUUUUCUCAACUUUUAGUGAAUUCCGCGCCUUAAAAAAAUGUUUUAACGACAUUCUCUUGUUUAUUAAAAUCAUAGGAAUGGUUUAAAAACGUUUAAAAGAAAAGUCUAGAAAGUUCAGAAAUACCUUAUGAUUCUCUUGUUUACAAUUUAAUUGUAAACAAAAAAACUGUCAUGGCUAAUUUAGCCCCAUAAGCCUAAUGUUAAAUAUUGGAAAUUAAGUUCGUUUUAAAUUGCAUAAGCAUUAUCUAGUUGAAAUUUGUAUGUUUAAAAACCAUCUCACUAUUAGUCUAAGUUAUUUUGUUAAGUUUGGCUGAAGUGAGUUCAGCCGUUAUUGAGUGAUGUUUCUCUAUUUGUUGCAUUGAAGUUGAUCCCAAAGAGCUUCGCUCAAUAAAUGAGAAAGUUUGGAUGUAUGUAUGUUUGUGACAAGUAAACACGAAAAAUACUGGUCAGACUGGGAUGAAUUUUUUUUAUAACAUGGGUCCCUUCUACCUUAACCUACAUACUAAGUUUUAUAAAGAUCAGUUGAAAAAAUCUAAAAAUAAAAAUAUUUGUGUAAAGAAUACAAAAUUGUAGAUAUCUGGUUAACAAAGCGAUUUAGGAAAAAAAUGUAUUGUUGAUUUCUCUUCAUUUUGACCCUUAGAACCAUUUCCUGGAGUUUGGCUGUUUACUUACGGGACACCCUGUAUAGUUGUAUAAAAUUCAUUGUAAAAAUCUGAUUAAGAGAAAUAAGCUAGAGUCAAUCCACUAAAAGUCUAUUCUAGUAGGUUUACCUGUAUAUGAGCAACCAAGAAUAUUCCUUUCCAUUCGUACAGAUAUGAAGGAAUUACCUUGUUGUAAUACAAAAGAAGAAUCGUCUCUUGCCAUUAAUGUAAAAACAUUUUUAAUUCAUCCACAAAUUACAUUACUAUAUGAGUUUCAUGUUUGUACAAAAUCUCAAGGUUUUUCUAAUAUGCAAACUAACUUAAGCACAUUUUGUUUCAAUAAAUUUGAACUUUUAUUUUGUAAA